rnacentral:lncRNA from 14 species
GGAGGAAGAGAGACAGGUGGAGCUCUUGGACUUCGAGGACAGCGUGGUUGGCUUGGUGAGGGUCCAGGCCAGACCUUCAGACCUUGUCUAAAAACAAGAACACAAUCAAGAAGAUUAAAAAGAAAAAGAAAAAAAAAACAACCCUGAGUCAUUUAAUGGAGGGAGAAGAGGGUAUGAGGCACCCCCCUCUUGUUCUGGGGCAGGGGCUACUGGAGUCGUUUGGACCAGAGAUGAGGGUGGCUUCCACAGACCAGUGUCUUCACUCUGACUUCUGCAAGAGAAGGAAGAAGUGGGGAAUUUGAAGUAUUAGGAGUGAGUUCCUCCUGGUUAACCUAAAAAACAUCCUCAUAGUUAAGAGACAUGGGAGCGGGAUGGGGCUGGCGUUUCCCACCUGCCAGACACAGUCCUGUGUCCUAGCUCCUGAGUCUUCUAGAGGAGCCGGUGGGUCAGUUGAGCCCCACCCCUGGGCUGUGCCCUGAGCUUUGGAGUCCCGUAUGUUGUUUACAGGUUUAAACUGUCUGGAUGGGUGAGAUUCGGACUUGGAGGCAGCAUGGUGGUCUCCCUGGUCACGAGAGUUUCCCUCCUUAACAGUCUCUUUGUCCGCUGCCUACUCUCCUGCUUUGGUGGUACCCCACUUGACUCUGUAAUAAAUCCUGAUUGUCCUCUGCACUUUAAAAUAAAAACUUAUGCUGGGAGACACUCAGCAGACAGAAUCAA